UACGUAGGAAGCAAGCGUUGUCCGGAAUCACUGGGCGUAAAGCGCGUGUAGGCGGUACGGCAAGUCUGCUGUGAAAGCCCUCGGCUUAACCGGGGGAGGUCGGUGGAAACUGCCGCACUGGAGGACGGUAGAGGGUGGUGGAAUUCCCGGUGUAGUGGUGAAAUGCGUAGAGAUCGGGAGGAACACCUGUGGCGAAGGCGGCCCCCUGGGCCGGCCCUGACGCUGAGACGCGAAAGCGCGGGGAGCGAACGGG
rnacentral:rRNA from 1 species